rnacentral:rRNA from 1 species
GAUGAACGCUGGCGGCGUGCCUAAUACAUGCAAGUCGAGCGAACAGACGAGGAGCUUGCUCCUCUGACGUUAGCGGCGGACGGGUGAGUAACACGUGGAUAACCUACCUAUAAGACUGGGAUAACUUCGGGAAACCGGAGCUAAUACCGGAUAAUAUAUUGAACCGCAUGGUUCAAUAGUGAAAGACGGUUUUGCUGUCACUUAUAGAUGGAUCCGCGCCGCAUUAGCUAGUUGGUAAGGUAACGGCUUACCAAGGCAACGAGGCGUAGCCGACCGGAGAGGGUGAUCGGCCACACUGGAACUGAGACACCGUCCAUACGCCUACGGGAGGCAGCAGUAGGGAAUCUUACGCAAUGGGCGAAAGCCUGACGGAGCAGCGCCGCGUGAGUGAUGAAGGUCUUCGGAUCGUAAAACUCUGUUAUUAGGGAAGAACAAAUGUGUAAGUAACUAUGCACGUCUUGACGGUACCUAAUCAGAAAGCCACGGCUAACUACGUG